AGCGAACGCUGGCGGCAGGCCUAACACAUGCAAGUCGGACGGACCUUUCGGGGUUAGUGGCGGACGGGUGAGUAACACGUGGGAACGUGCCUUUAGGUUCGGAAUAGCUCCUGGAAACGGGUGGUAAUGCCGAAUGUGCCCUUAGGGGGAAAGAUUUAUCGCCUUUAGAGCGGCCCGCGUCUGAUUAGCUAGUUGGUGAGGUAAUGGCUCACCAAGGCUACGAUCAGUAGCUGGUCUGUGAGGAUGACCAGCCACAUUAGGACUGGGACACGGCCCAAACACCUACGGGAGGCAGCAGUGGGGAAUCUUGCGCAAUGGGCGAAAGCCUGACGCAGCCAUGCCGCGUGGAUGAUGAAGGUCUUAGGAUUGUAAAAUCCUUUCACCGGUGAAGAUAAUGACUGUAGCCGGAGAAGAAGCCCCGGCUAACUUCGUGCCAGCCGCCGCCGUAA
rnacentral:rRNA from 1 species